UGAUUUCCACAGCAAAUUCCUAUAGUA
rnacentral:piRNA from 1 species